rnacentral:rRNA from 1 species
UGCAGAAUCCCGUGAACCAUCGAGUCUUUGAACGCAAGUUGCGCCCGAUGCCAUUAGGUUGAGGGCACGUCUGCCUGGGCGUCACAUAUCGAAGCCUCUUGCCAAUUUCCUAUUGAUAGGGAUUGUGUAGGAUGAUGUUGGCCUCCCGUGAGCUCCAUCGUCUCAUGGUUGGUUGAAAAUCGAGACCUUGGUAGGGUGUGCCAUGAUAGAUGGUGGAUGUGUUACGCACGAGACCAAAUAAUCAUGUGCUGCCCUAUUGAAUUUAGCCUCUUUUACCCAAAUGCGUUUCUAAACGCUCGUGAUGAGACCUCAGGUCAGGCGGGGCUACCCGCUGAAUUUAAGCAUAUCAAUAAGCGGAGGAAAAGAAACUAACAAGGAUUCCCUUAGUAACGGCGAGCGAACCGGGAUAAGCCCACCAUGAGAAUCGGUCGCCCUCGGCGUUCGA